rnacentral:rRNA from 1 species
CACGUAGGGCGCAAGCGUUGUCCGGAAUUACUGGGCGUAAAGGGCUCGUAGGUGGCCAACUAAGUCAGACGUGAAAUCCCUCGGCUUAACCGGGGAACUGCGUCUGAUACUGGAUGGCUUGAGAUUGGGAGAGGGAUGCGGAAUUCCAGGUGUAGCGGUGAAAUGCGUAGAUAUCUGGAGGAACACCGGUGGCGAAGGCGGCAUCCUGGACCAGCACACGUACGCUGAGGAGCGAAAGCCGGGAGGGACGAACAGG